GUGGGGAAUUUUGGACAAUGGGCGCAAGCCUGAUCCAGCCAUGCCGCGUGCAGGAUGAAGGCCUUCGGGUUGUAAACUGCUUUUGUACGGAACGAAAAGACUCUUUCUAAUAAAGGGGGUCCAUGACGGUACCGUAAGAAUAAGCACCGGCUAACUACGUGCCAGCAGCCGCGGUAAUACGUAGGGUGCAAGCGUUAAUCGGAAUUACUGGGCGUAAAGCGUGCGCAGGCGGUUAUAUAAGACAGAUGUGAAAUCCCCGGGCUCAACCUGGGAACUGCAUUUGUGACUGUAUAGCUAGAGUACGGUAGAGGGGGAUGGAAUUCCGCGUGUAGCAGUGAAAUGCGUAGAUAUGCGGAGGAACACCGAUGGCGAAGGCAAUCCCCUGGACCUGUACUGACGCUCAUGCACGAAAGCGUGGGGAGCAAACAGGAUUAGAUACCCUGGUAGUCC
rnacentral:rRNA from 1 species